rnacentral:lncRNA from 1 species
GAUUAAAUGCCUAUGUAAAGAAAAAGUGCCCAACUAGUAUGAUAUCAUGAAAUCCUCAUCAUUCGAGGACAUGAUCAUUACUUUAUUUUGUCAAUAAUUAAUUUAUUAGUUGGAGUUAGUUGGGGAUAUGUCCCAUCAACUCCCUAUUCAAACAUUUUAGAGGCUUUCAGAAUAUCAUGUUCAGUUAGUUAUUUCAGUUGUUUUGGGUAUUUCAUACCCCACCAG